GGCGGCGUUGGGCCGGUAGCCCAGGACGCGGAUGGCGUCCUGGACCUUGGCUUCGGUUGCCGGCGCCACUU
rnacentral:tRNA from 2 species